GAUGAACGCUGGCGGCGUGCCUAAUACAUGCAAGUCGAGCGAACGGACGAGAAGCUUGCUUUUCUGAUGUUAGCGGCGGACGGGUGAGUAACACGUGGAUAACCUACCUAUAAGACUGGGAUAACUUCGGGAAACCGGAGCUAAUACCGGAUAAUAUUUUGAACCGCAUGGUUCAAAAGUGAAAGACGGUCUUGCUGUCACUUAUAGAUGGAUCCGCGCUGCAUUAGCUAGUUGGUAAGGUAACGGCUCACCAAGGCAACGAUGCAUAGCCGACCUGAGAGGGUGAUCGGCCACACUGGAGCUGAGACACGGUCCAGACUCCUACGGGAGGCAGCAGUAGGGAAUCUUCCGCAAUGGGCGAAAGCCUGACGGAGCAACGCCGCGUGAGUGAUGAAGGUCUUCGGAUCGUAAAACUCUGUUAUUAGGGAAGAACAUAUGUGUAAGUAACUGUGCACAUCUUGACGGUACCUAAUCAGAAAGCCACGGCUAACUACGUG
rnacentral:rRNA from 1 species